rnacentral:rRNA from 1 species
GGGUUGUGAGGUUAAGCGACUAAGCGUACACGGUGGAUGCCCUGGCAGUCAGAGGCGAUGAAGGGCGUGCUAAUCUGCGAUAAGCGCCGGUAAGGUGAUAUGAACCGUUAUAACCGGCGAUACCCGAAUGGGGAAACCCAGUGUGACUCGUCACACUAUCAUUAACUGAAUCCAUAGGUUAAUGAGGCGAACCGGGGGAACUGAAACAUCUAAGUACCCCGAGGAAAAGAAAUCAACCGAGAUUCCCCCAGUAGCGGCGAGCGAACGGGGAGGAGCCCAGAGCCUGAAUCAGCAUGUGUGUUAGUGGAAGCGUCUGGAAAGGCGCGCGAUACAGGGUGACAGCCCCGUACACAAAAGCGCAUGUGCUGUGAGCUCGAUGAGUAGGGCGGGACACGUGGUAUCCUGUCUGAAUAUGGGGGGACCAUCCUCCAAGGCUAAAUACUCCUGACUGACCGAUAGUGAACCAGUACCGUGAGGGAAAGGCGAAAAGAACCCCGGCGAGGGGAGUGAAAAAGAACCUGAAACCGUGUACGUACAAGCAGUGGGAGCACAGGUUUACCUGUGUGACUGCGUACCUUUUGUAUAAUGGGUCAGCGACUUAUAUUCUGUAGCAAGGUUAACCGAAUAGGGGAGCCGGAGGGAAACCGAGUCUUAAUUGGGCGUUAAGUUGCAGGGUAUAGACCCGAAACCCGGUGAUCUAGCCAUGGGCAGGUUGAAGGUUGGGUAACACUAACUGGAGGACCGAACCGACUAAUGUUGAAAAAUUAGCGGAUGACCUGUGGCUGGGGGUGAAAGGCCAAUCAAACCGGGAGAUAGCUGGUUCUCCCCGAAAGCUAUUUAGGUAGCGCCUCGUGAAUUCAUCUCCGGGGGUAGAGCACUGUUUCGGCUAGGGGGCCAUCCCGGCUUACCAACCCGAUGCAAACUGCGAAUACCGGAGAAUGUUAUCACGGGAGACACACGGCGGGUGCUAACGUCCGUCGUGAAGAGGGAAACAACCCAGACCGCCAGCUAAGGUCCCAAAGUCAUGGUUAAGUGGGAAACGAUGUGGGAAGGCCCAGACAGCCAGGAUGUUGGCUUAGAAGCAGCCAUCAUUUAAAGAAAGCGUAAUAGCUCACUGGUCGAGUCGGCCUGCGCGGAAGAUGUAACGGGGCUAAACCAUGCACCGAAGCUG